UACGUAGGGUGCGGAGCGUUGUCCGGAAUUACUGGGCGUAAAGAGCUCGUAGGCGGUCUGUCGCGUCUGCUGUGAAAACCUAGGGCUUAACUCUGGGCGUGCAGUGGGUACGGGCAGGCUAGAGUGCGGUAGGGGAGACUGGAAUUCCUGGUGUAGCGGUGAAAUGCGCAGAUAUCAGGAGGAACACCGGUGGCGAAGGCGGGUCUCUGGGCCGUAACUGACGCUGGAGGAGCGAAAGCAUGGGGAGCGAACAGG
rnacentral:rRNA from 1 species